UUUCUCGUUCCUCCUGUGAACCCUAAUGAAACCCCAAAUCCUUUUCCCUCUUUUGGAGAAAGUUCUGAAAUCAUUCAAAUGAAAACCUAUGUUCUUCAUCACUGUCCUGCAUCUUCUCGAUUGAAAAACCAAUAUCUAACCCCUAACCCUAGAUUUGAUGUUCCUGCUGCUGAACAAGACGAACCAAGAUAAUUUUUAUAUCAGAAACUCACUAAUCUCGUGUAGAAGAUUUACAGUCUUAGUUACAUUUCUGAACAAAUCGAUUAAGUGGUUCGAUUCUAGUACUGGUGGUGGUGAAAAAGAACUCAAUAUCUUCAAACAAAGAAACGAUUCAUUGGUAGCUUGUGUUGUUAAUGAUAAAAUCCUUCUCGCGAUUAAUUGGAGUUGCAGGUUACUUAAACUGGUAUUUAUUUUGAUUCCUGAUGAUGAUGGUGUGGUGGUGGUGAUGGAGAAGAAGAUGACUCAGUUUGCUAAGAAGAUUGCUCCACCAUGCUUGUCUAUAGAUUCCAGGCUUACUGAAUGUGGAUUUUGGCGAUGUAAAAGCUAUAAUGAAAGACAUGGGAACAACAAUGCUUGGUGUUGGGAUUUCCAUUGGCAAAUCGAGCUGAAGAGGCAGCACUACAGCCUACAGUCAACCUCAGCUCCAUUGAUAGAUAGAUCAAUUGAGCAGGCAACUGGGUGUGGAUAUUAAUAUUUUUGAUUGAAAGGACCGGACUUUGCAAGGGGUGAACAGAGUGGCACAGAUACACAGGCGAGGUGCAUGAUUGCUUCUCUUCGGCAUGUAUUAUAGUCCUUCUUCACGAUAAUCUUGGGUCGCUUUGGACAACAAAAGGCAAGCCUUCUAGUGAUGCAGAUUCGACGGUGUCAAAUAUUAUUUUGCACGACUGAGCAGCUCCUCCAUACCUUGAAAGGGUCGGCAAAAAAGCUUCGAAGAGUUAACUAACAUGGUUGAACCCCAUCUCAAAAUUCUAAGUGAAGAGCCUCUGUUGGUGAUCAGAACUACAACUUGGUGCCUACCGAGUUCACUCCGCGUUCAAUGUCAGUACAUUUCGACCCCAGCAUUGAAUGAUCAGGAAGCAGUGAUGCACCUCUUGAGAAGCAGGCAUACGGGUGGGAGCUGAUGAAGUCGUGGUCGCAGUUAAAGGCGACGACUCUCUUCACAUGAG